UACGUAGGGUGCGAGCGUUAAUCGGAAUUACUGGGCGUAAAGCGUGCGCAGGCGGUGAUGUAAGACAGGUGUGAAAUCCCCGGGCUUAACCUGGGAACUGCAUUUGUGACUGCAUCGCUGGAGUGCGGCAGAGGGGGAUGGAAUUCCGCGUGUAGCAGUGAAAUGCGUAGAUAUGCGGAGGAACACCGAUGGCGAAGGCAAUCCCCUGGGCCUGCACUGACGCUCAUGCACGAAAGCGUGGG
rnacentral:rRNA from 1 species